GUCUGGAUCAAGGUGGGAUGCUGUCCGGCGGGUCAGUGUGGACUCAGUGGGCUGAAUGGCCUGCUUCCACACUAUAGCGAUUCUUUAAAGAAAACACACCAAUAUCAAUGGUACUGGUAAACUCCAAUGCAGCAGCCUGCUCUUCAGGAACAAUGCAGAAAUUGAUCUGUGUACCUUUUUGCUAACUUUUAUCUUUUUUGACUCAUUUCUAAUCUGUGCAGGCAUUGAUUUACUAAAUUCUUCUUGUGUUUAGUAGUUAAUAAAUUCAUGCUUUGUUAUUCAAGGAAGCCUGGCUAAAUUAGUUCCCUUUAAAACAUAAGUUCAUGUGGGUCUAGGAGUAAGAAGGAAAGGGAUUUUUUAAAAAAUUAAUCUUGUCAUGAUCAACUAAAGGGUGGGUGAAUAAAUAAGCCAGGUCAUUCCUCCUUACCUGGUAGCUUAACAGUUUGGGGUAUCCUGCAAUCAACUGGAGAUCCUUGCCCAAUGUUUGAUCAUAACAAAUUGGGGACUGUUUCUGUGAUUUGAACACAGAGAUUGAGUAAACUGGGAAAUUUGAUUGGGUAAAUUAUCACUUUGAACAAAUUUCUUGAGUUAUUCUGCUUUUGUAGAGAAAUGCCUGCACUUGCUACCAGAGUAAAUUUAGAGGAAGCUACUUUUGAGGAUUCUUUUGCUCUGUCCCCAGAAUAGUCAAAAGAUUUAGCUUAGAUAAGAAUGUCUCCCACAAGCAAGAAAACUCAAUAUUUUGUAAGGAUGGCCAAUGGUUUACAAAUGGGGACACUAACUGCAUUCCAAACAUACUAAAUGGUGAAGGGGUGAAUGACAGGGGAGGGAAAAAGGGGGGAGGAAAUAAACACAACUAUUACUAGAGACAACACUGAAGAAAUUCAUGGAGCUAAAUGCUGAUAAGUCUGCUUGACCUGAUGGGUUGCAUCUUAGGAUUUUGAAAGAAGUAACUACUGGAGUCACUGGUGAUAGUCUUCCAAGAAUUAUCUGAUUCUGGAAACGAUCCAGAAGCUUGGAAAACUGCCAAUGUACUAACUGUUAUUAAGGGAGGGAGUUUGUAAAAAAAAUAACUAUACUGUAAAGACCAUUUUUCUAAUUUCUAGUGAGUACAGUCCUAACCUGUUUAAUCUUUGCUUACAAGACACCCCUCCAUACCAGGGAUCAUCCUAUUUGGUAGUCACCCCUCUGCUGCAGGUAAAGGAAGGUACUUUCUCACUCAAAGUAUUCCUAACCAGGCAAAAGGAUACACAACAACAAAAGAGCUUUCAACCUGAAUGCUGGAAUUCAAUCAUAGUCAAAAAGAAACAUAAUUACAGAAUCUCAACUAAUUUAAGGACUGGGAAAUGAACUAUUCAAGUAAUAAUGUCAACACUACAGGUUAAGCCAAACAAGUUGAUUGGAGCUACAUUCACAAGACACUUGUUGUUGUUGAGGACAAAUCCUUUACGAUGAGGAGCCACCAUUGGUUAAGGAUACUCCAGACAAGGUAAUGGACUAAGCAGCUGGGGUGGUAAAAGUAACAUCCUCUGUGAAGAGAUCCAAAAGAUAAAAUGUCGUCAAAUGAUGAGACAGAAUUCAGACAACACAAGGUCAACAGUCCUCAGCCCAAAGGAUACCAAUCUUGGAAGUCUAAAGAGAACAUGUUUUGGAAAAAUUGUGAAACUUCCAGACUGCCUGCAAUUUUGAGGUCAGAGACUUGGGCAAGAUGUGUUUGUGGUAAAUAUGUUUAUAUUAGUAAUUAUUUGUAAUAAAUGCCAGCCAUUUAUGCCCAUUGCUACAUCACAUGCGCAGCAAUGCCCAACUCCAUCAAUAAUUUUUUUCAAAUGGCAAAAUAGUUCACAGUCAAAGCUACUUUGCAGGUACUUAGCACACAGCAGAAUCCCACAAGUUUACCAGAUAAAUGGCCAGAUUUGUUUUGAAACAAGGAUAGAUGCUGUCAGUAUAUCCGGUGAAAUCUCCAGCUCUUUUUAAAUUAGUGCCAAGGGUGUUUUUUGCAUCCAAUUAGUAGACACUGGGAUUUCAGUUUAAUGUUUUAUCCUAAAAUGGAAAAGGUGACUGUUGGUAAUGUACUGAAGUGUCACCCUGUGCUUAACACUCCUGAAGCAAGGCUUGAACCUAUAACCUCUAAUCUAAAGAUAAGAGUGUUACUACCCAGUCACAGUCAAAACAGUCGCUAAUGUGUCUUGCUGCUUUGUGCCUUCAUCUGGUUUAUUCUGUUUCCUAUUUUAAAACUGGAAUCAAUUCUUUCUGAAUGAGCAAAUGGAAGACAGUUAAUACUGCACUGACAGUGUCUAGCUAAGAUGGACAAAAGAAAGAAAAUACUUGAAUUAAUGUGUUUUAUUUAUUUCUCAUUAUUUAUAUGCCAUUUAUAAUUGAUUGACGUCAGAAUA